UACAGAGGGUGCAAGCGUUACUCGGAAUUACUGGGCGUAAAGCGCGCGUAGGUGGUUCGUUAAGUUGGAUGUGAAAUCCCCGGGCUCAACCUGGGAACUGCAUCCAAAACUGGCGAGCUAGAGUAUGGUAGAGGGUGGUGGAAUUUCCUGUGUAGCGGUGAAAUGCGUAGAUAUAGGAAGGAACACCAGUGGCGAAGGCGACCACCUGGACUGAUACUGACACUGAGGUGCGAAAGCGUGGGGAGCAAACAGG
rnacentral:rRNA from 1 species